GGGGUUGUGGCUCAGAGGUAGAGCACUCGCCUAGCACGUGUGAGGCACUGGAUUCAAUCCUUAACAUCA
rnacentral:tRNA from 1 species